rnacentral:rRNA from 1 species
GGGGAAUCUUAGACAAUGGGGGAAACCCUGAUCUAGCCAUGCCGCGUGAGCGAUGAAGGCCUUAGGGUUGUAAAGCUCUUUCAGUGGGGAAGAUAAUGACGGUACCCACAGAAGAAGCCCCGGCUAACUCCGUGCCAGCAGCCGCGGUAAUACGGAGGGGGCUAGCGUUGUUCGGAAUUACUGGGCGUAAAGCGCACGUAGGCGGACUGGAAAGUCAGAGGUGAAAUCCCAGGGCUCAACCUUGGAACUGCCUUUGAAACUCCUGGUCGUGAGGUCGAGAGAGGUGAGUGGAAUUCCGAGUGUAGAGGUGAAAUUCGUAGAUAUUCGGAGGAACACCAGUGGCGAAGGCGGCUCACUGGCUCGAUACUGACGCUGAGGGGCGAAAGCGUGGGGAGCAAAC